rnacentral:rRNA from 1 species
AACGAACGCUGGCGGCAGGCCUAACACAUGCAAGUCGAGCGAAGCCUUCGGGCUUAGCGGCGGACGGGUGAGUAACGCGUGGGAACGUGCCCUUUGCUACGGAAUAGCCCCGGGAAACUGGGAGUAAUACCGUAUGUGCCCUUCGGGGGAAAGAUUUAUCGGUAAAGGAUCGGCCCGCGUUGGAUUAGGUAGUUGGUGGGGUAAUGGCCUACCAAGCCGACGAUCCAUAGCUGGUUUGAGAGGAUGAUCAGCCACACUGGGACUGAGACACGGCCCAGACUCCUACGGGAGGCAGCAGUGGGGAAUCUUAGACAAUGGGGGAAACCCUGAUCUAGCCAUGCCGCGUGGUCGAUGAAGGCCUUAGGGUUGUAAAGAUCUUUCAGUGGGGAAGAUAAUGACUGUACCCACAGAAGAAGCCCCGGCUAACUCCGUGCCAGCCGCCGCUGUAAAAC